rnacentral:tRNA from 1 species
UUCAACUUGGCAGAAUAUAUGCAAUAAAUUUAGAAUUUAAUUAUGAAAAUUUUUCAGUUGAAA